UACAGAGGGUGCUAGCGUUGUUCGGAAUCAUUGGGCGUAAAGGGCGUGUAGGCGGUUUGUUAAGUCAUGUGUGGAAACCCCGGCUCAACCGGGGAACGACGCAUGAAACUGGCAAGCUAGAGUACCGAAGAGGGGGGUGGAAUUCCCGGUGUAGCGGUGAAAUGCGCAGAUAUCAGGAGGAACACCAGUGGCGAAGGCGGCUCACUGGACCGGUAUUGACGCUGAGGUGCGAAAGCGUGGGGAGCAAACAGG
rnacentral:rRNA from 1 species